CAUUUCCUUCUCGUUUUGUUGGAAGACGAUGUCAAUUCAAAUUGAGGAAUACUCUAGCGGUAUGCCGAGCAACAGGUGAUCCUCACUACCGAACAUUUGAUGGAAAACGCUACGACUUCAUGGGAAAAUGUCAAUAUGUGUUGGCCAAAGACUCGAAAGAAACCUUUACAAUUCUGCAAGAUACCGAACCUUGUGGUAGAAGAAAAGCUACGUGCACCUAUGCUAUUACGGCAAAAAUACAAGGAAAAACCAUUUACAUGAGUAGAGGAGGAAGUGUAUUAGUAAAUGGUGAAAAUGUCACAUUGCCGUAUAAAGAUAAAGGAAUUACUGUCAAAGUUUUCAUGAAACGUGGCAUGAAGAUCAAGACAAAGAUUGGUUUAACAGUUGAAUACAAUGGUGUAUUUAACGUUUUUGAAAGUUCGAAACAUCUAUAGGGGAAAAUUAUCAGGACUUUGCGGCAACUUUAAUGGCAAACGUAAUGAUGAGUUCAAGACACCAGAAAAUGCACUUGUGAAGAACGUAAUUACAUUUGGAAAUUCCUGGAAGACAGAUGACAGUUGUCCAAAUGUCACAACUGUUGAAGACCAUCCGUGUAAAAAUAACAUCAAACGUGCACUGAAAGCUAAACAAGAAUGUUCAGCACUUAAAAAACAACCUUUCUCAAAGUGUAAUGAAGUUGUAGAUCCAAAUGAUGGUCCUAUAGAAGAGUGUGAAUAUGAUGUCUGCGCAUGUGAAAGUAAUCCGAAGGCGUGUGUGUGUGAAUCAUUUGCUGCUUAUGAAGAACAAUGUAAUAACACAGGGAUUGAAAUCAAGUGGAAACAUCUCAAAAAGUUUGCAAAAUGUGGUUCAGCAUGUUCCUCGCUC